rnacentral:tRNA from 1 species
GCGCUGGUGGUUCAGUGGUAGAAUUCUCGCCUGCCACGCGGGAGACCGGGAUUCGAUUCCCCGCUAGCGCA